rnacentral:rRNA from 1 species
CAGUCGCCACGGGAAUACGGAGGGAGCUAGCGUUGUUCGGAAUUACUGGGCGUAAAGCGUGCGUAGGCGGCUUUUUAAGUCGGAUGUGAAAUCCCUGAGCUUAACUUAGGAAUUGCAUUCGAUACUGGGAAGCUAGAGUAUGGGAGAGGAUGGUAGAAUUCCAGGUGUAGCGGUGAAAUGCGUAGAGAUCUGGAGGAAUACCGAUGGCGAAGGCAGCCAUCUGGCCUAAUACUGACGCUGAGGUACGAAAGCAUGGGGAGCAAACAGGAUUAGAUACCCCCGUAGUCCCUGUCUCUUAUAA